rnacentral:rRNA from 1 species
AUUGAACGCUGGCGGCAUGCCUAACACAUGCAAGUCGAACGGGGCAGCAAUGCCUAGUGGCGGACGGGUGAGGAGUACGUAGGAAUCUGCCCUUAAGUGGGGGAUAACCAGGGGAAACCCUGACUAAUACCGCAUGAUCUCUUCGGAGCAAAGAGGGGGACCGCAAGGCCUCUCGCUUCUGGAUGAGCCUACGUCUGAUUAGCUAGUUGGUAGGGUAAAGGCCUAACAAGGCGACGAUCAGUAACUGGUCUGAGAGGAUGAUCAGUCACACCGGAACUGAGACACGGUCCGGACUCCUACGGGAGGCAGCAGUGGGGAAUAUUGGACAAUGGGCGCAAGCCUGAUCCAGCAAUGCCGCGUGUGUGAAGAAGGCCUUCGGGUUGUAAAGCACUUUAGCCUGGAAAGAAAAAACUUUGGUUAACACCCAAAGUCUUGACGGUACCAGGAGAACAAGCACCGGCAAACUCUGUGCCAGCCGCCGCAGUAACAC